rnacentral:rRNA from 1 species
UACGGGGGGGGCAAGCGUUGUUCGGAAUUACUGGGCGUAAAGGGCUCGUAGGCGGCCAACUAAGUCAGACGUGAAAUCCCUCGGCUUAACCGGGGAACUGCGUCUGAUACUGGAUGGCUUGAGUUUGGGAGAGGGAUGCGGAAUUCCAGGUGUAGCGGUGAAAUGCGUAGAUAUCUGGAGGAACACCGGUGGCGAAGGCGGCAUCCUGGACCAACACUGACGCUGAGGGAGCGAAAGCCAGGGGAGCAAACGGG